rnacentral:lncRNA from 1 species
UAGCCAUGAUAUAUUAUCCUUCUAUAUGUUGCUGUAUUUGACUUGUAUAUAUGUGUAUUUUUUCAAACCAAAAACAGAAUGGUACUGUAUAUACUGAUUUGUAAUCUCUUUUUGAAAAAACAUAUUUUUUAAUCUAAAAGAAAUUCAUAGUUGUAAGAAAAGUUCUUUCUGAUUAUGCCAGUAGAUUUAUUUCUUCCCUGUGCUUUCUUAUAAUAGGGGAUUAGAUAGUUGCUAUGCAUAUUUUGGUUCAAGUUCAUUAAAUUCAAAAACUGGGAUGAGAAAUUUUCAACCCCCACACACCAACUCUUCUAAUUAGCUGAUAAACUCUGAAAUAAAUUAUUUGUAUCUUUGACAAAAUGUGAAGAGGAAACUGCUCUGAGUUUUGAAGGUCAUUAUAAAUGCUAAGAGGAAAGGGGUGAGCACCAAUCUUCGAAAUCCAGGCACUCACUCAUCAGAUGUCUGGUGAGUCCAAAAUCUCUGUCUUAUGAUGAUAACCUUAAGUAACAACCUUAAAUAUACAUCAGAUAGCUCUGAUAUUUGUAAAGAAAGUUUUCUUUCUUCCAUUAAAAAAUACUGUAUAGGUAGAUAUAGAUGUGUGUGUAUACACAAACACUCACACACACACACACAUACGGAGAGACAGCAUUAACAGUCUUUUGAAAACUUUUAUUUUGAAACAUUUUUUGUUGUGAGGUGUUUCUUCCCUGGACAAGUACAUCUUUUCUUUUCUUUUCUUUUUAUAUAGAUAUAUGAGUUUUCCCUACUCCAGAAACACGCAUUCAAGAUUGAUUCUCUCUAGGUACCCACUUAAGGCUUAUUUUUAGAAUUCCAGCAAUCUAAUUUUUUUUUUACCUCCAACUUUUAUUUUGGAAAAGGCAAUCUACUUAUUCUUCACAUCCUCAUAAGGAAAUGGACAUUGCUUUAUUUUAUAUGUGAGCCAGAGCUCGAGAUAAUGAUAAAUCUUGCCAGAGGCCUCAAGGAUACUAAGCAUGAACUCUGGGAAAAAAAUUUGUGUUUGUUUUGUUUUUGGAGGGUGUCCCUCAUUCCCAGCCUUGGGUUAAGAUGAUUCUGCUUUUCUCAAAAUGUUUGAAUGACAGGAUGAACUUCAAUGUUUGCAUCAUUUCCCCUGUUUUAUACUCUCCUCGCAUAGACCACAGCUGAGAGUUUUAGAGAAAAGGCGCUUUCGGCAAGUGCAAAGUGGUAUUGUCAUGUUGCUACUGGAGCUGUCUGUGACAGCCAAGAAAAUAGGACAGAAUCAAAAGGAAGUAAAAUAAGUCAUAGUGAAACCUUCUCCCUUAGAGGAAGGAAAGCAAACAUUGAAAUAUUGCUUUUUUUCUUGGCUACUUAUUAAAGGGGAGAUUUGCCUGCUGUGCUGGAAGAGUCUUUUAUUCAUCGUUUUGUUGAUGGGAGGUAUCCAACUUGAGUGUGUUUGAAGAAGCAAAUUAGUGGCUUCUGGGAAGGUAUUAAUAAGUCACAGAGCAAAGAGGAAUAUUUCAAGGGAGGGGAACUGAGAAGAUUUGGUUGAAUAAAGCUCAUUAAGAUCCUACAGAGAUGGAAUCUGAGUAUGAAGUAGGUCAAAUUCAGUCUCCCUGAUAGUGCCCUUCAGGCAUUGCCAACGUGGGCUUCUCGCUCAGCAGAGGUGGGUUGUGUGUGGAUGGAUUCCUAGACUGCAGCAUGGGCUCUAACCUAAUGAGAAGGUGCCUACACAGGGCCUGCAGCCAGAAGUCCUGAUUUUCACGUAAAAUGCCCUCAGUUCCUUCAAAUCUUCAGAUUUUUCCUCAGGUAAAGCUUUGUAUCCUAGGUGCUUGGUAUUAGGCAUCUGCUUGUUGGAAAGUAAGAGAGCCACAUCCGCAACUGCAAGAGUUGGGAGACUCCAGCGGCAGUAACAACCCAGGGGAUCACACAAAGGAGGUUGGAACUCUACCCUGGUUUGACUGAUCCCUCAAAUACAUUCAGAUGUCAUCAUAAAGAAGCUUUAGCUUCAUAAAGAAGGAAGACAAAGGAAAAAUUGUGCCACUUCUGUUAAUUUAAUCAGAAAGUUUUAAUGAUGUCUUAUUACUUGGGUUUUUAUCAUAAUGAUUUGUUUUAAUGCUGAGUUCAGUUUCAGUUUUAUAUUUGUUCUAUCUUGUGCAACGUCCAAGGAUAAUUUAACUAUUCAAAUGAAGUAGUCCCUUAAAAAAUUAUCCCAUGGCAUGGAUUUGAAGAGGCAGGCAAAAAUGGAAUAAAGUACUUUUCAGUAGAUUAGACAAUUGCAAUCCAGUUCUAUUGAAGCCCCACGACAGGAUUGCUGCUAAAUUUGAUGUAUAUUUUCUGUUUUUUUGUUUGUUUGGUUGGCUGGUUGGUUUUUGUUUUUGAGACAGAGUCUU